AUCAGGUGCACCUGGCAUUGUCGAAAAAGAGCAGGCGCAAGACUCUGUUGCCCAUUUAAGAUGAUUAACACCCGGCAAACCUCACGCGAGACCUGAGUUCCUAGGUUGAAACCCCAAGCUCUUUCCCACUUGCUUGUGAGCAGACGAUCCAUCUCAGGAGUUACGGAUGAAGGAUGUGCAAGUAGCGCUUUUAUUCAUCUUUGCCUUGAAAGAGGAAUUGAUUCCUUACACAGCUGUAGAUUUCAGUGUAUCUGUGGGAGGAACUGAGUUCAAGACCUUCCGACAACACCAUCUUGAAUCUAUUUAUUCAUCGUGAGCUUUUGACCAACCCAGGAAGCAAUCGUGAAAUGUUAAAUAUGCAAGAUCACCUAAUGUGAUUAUUUGGGUAAGAAAUGGGUUUCUCAUUUGGAGUUGUAAAUGCACCACCCUUUAAAAAAAUACUUAAAGAGAACUACCUGGUUCUCAAGCUAACCUGUGUCAACUGAAAAAAUAUGUGCAGUCUAAAAGUUGAGUCUAAAUUGAAAAAAUAUGUGCACUCUAAAAUGUUUCAUUUGGUGGAAGUUUUUAGGAUUUCAAGCCUGGAGGAAGCAUCUCAAGUGACCCUGAG
rnacentral:lncRNA from 1 species